rnacentral:rRNA from 1 species
GACGAACGCUGGCGGCGUGCUUAACACAUGCAAGUCGAGCGGUAAGGCCUCUUCGGGGGUACACGAGCGGCGAACGGGUGAGUAACACGUGAGUAAUCUGUCCUUCACUCUGGGAUAAGCACUCGAAAGGGUGUCUAAUACCGGAUACGACGCACUCUCGCAUGGGAUGUGUGUGGAAACUUUUGUGGGUGGGGGAUGUGCUCGCGGCCUAUCAGCUUGUUGGUGGGGUAAUGGCCUACCAAGGCCUUGACGGGUAGCCGGCCUGAGAGGGUGACCGGCCACACUGGGACUGGGACACGGACCAGACUCCUACGGGAGGCAGCAGUGGGGAAUAUUGGACAAUGGGCGGAAGCCUGAUCCAGCAACGCCGCGUGAGGGAUGACGGCCUUCGGGUUGUAAACCUCUUUCAGUAUCGACGAAGCGCCCGUGUGGGUGGUGACGGUAGGUACAGAAGAAGCACCGGCCAACUACGUGCCAGCCGCCGCCGUAAAAC